rnacentral:tRNA from 2 species
GUCUCUGUGGCGCAAUCGGUUAGUGCAUUCGGCUAUUAACUGAAAGGUUGGUGGUUCAAGCCCACCCAAGGACA